rnacentral:rRNA from 1 species
GACGAACGCUGGCGGCGUGCUUAACACAUGCAAGUCGAACGGAAAGGCCCUGCUUGCCGGGUACUCGAGUGGCGAACGGGUGAGUAACACGUGGGUGAUCUGCCCUGCACUUCGGGAUAAGCCUGGGAAACUGGGUCUAAUACCGGAUAGGAGCCAUUUUUAGUGUGAUGGUUGGAAAGUUUUUUCGGUGUAGGAUGAGCUCGCGGCCUAUCAGCUUGUUGGUGGGGUAAUGGCCUACCAAGGCGGCGACGGGUAGCCGGCCUGAGGGGGUGGACGGCCACAUUGGGAAUGAGAUACGGCCCAGACUCCUACGGGAGGCAGCAGUGGGGAAUAUUGCACAAUGGGCGCAAGCCUGAUGCAGCGACGCCGCGGGGGGGAUGACGGCCUUCGGGUUGGAAACUCCUUUCGCUAGGGACGAAGCUUUUUGUGACGGUACCUAGAGAAGAAGCACCGGCUAACUACGUG